rnacentral:tRNA from 1 species
GGGGUAAUAGCUCAGUGGUAGAGCUCAUGUUUAGCAUGCACGAGGUCCUGGAUUCAAUCACCAGUACUGCCA